UGACAUUGAUAAUGUACAAUUUUAUAACGUAAAGCGCAUGAUUAGAAGUAUCUGGGUUGAAAUAAUUUAGACUGAUUCUCAAACUUUGAAGUCGUAAGAAUUAAUAGUACCAUUUUGAUCUAUACUAUUAAUUAAAUGGAACAAUGUUUAGUGGGCCAUUUUUGGUAAGCAGAACUGGCGAUGCGGGAUGAACCGAAAGUUAAGUUAAAGUGUCGAAAUAUAAGCUAAUUUAGAUAUCAUAAAAGGUGUUGAUUUAUAUAGACAGCAGGACGGUGGUCAUGGAAGUCGAUAUCCGCUAAGAAGUGUGUAACAACAUACCUGCCAAAUGAAUUGGCCCUGAAAAUCGAUGACGCUCAAGCUUAAUACUUAAACUUAACCGUUAUUGCGAAUUAAUUAGCUUUAACGAGUAGGAGAACGUG
rnacentral:rRNA from 1 species